AUUGAACGCUGGCGGCAGGCCUAACACAUGCAAGUCGAGCGGCUCGGCGGACGGGGGAGUAAUGCCAAGGAAUAUGCCUGGUCGUGGGGGAUAACGUCCGGUAAAGGGAGCUGAUACCGCAUCCUCUCAGAUGAGCCUGGGACGGAUUAGCUAGUGGGUGGGGUAAGGGCCUACCAAGGCGACGAUCCGUAACUGGUCUGAGAGGAUGAUCAGUCACACUGGAACUGAGAUACGGUCCAGAUUCCUACGGGAGGCAGCAGUGGGGAAUAUUGGACAAUGGGCGAAAGCCUGAUCCAGCCAUGCCGCGUGUAUGAAGAAGGUCUUCGGAUUGUAAAGCACUUUAAGUUGGGAGGCGUUACCCACAGAAUAAGCACCGGCUAACUUCGUGCCAGCAGCCGCGGUAAUAC
rnacentral:rRNA from 1 species